rnacentral:rRNA from 1 species
AUUGAACGCUGGCGGCAGGCUUAACACAUGCAAGUCGAGCGGAGUGAUGGUGCUUGCACUAUCACUUAGCGGCGGACGGGUGAGUAAUGCUUAGGAAUCUGCCUAUUAGUGGGGGACAACAUCUCGAAAGGGAUGCUAAUACCGCAUACGUCCUACGGGAGAAAGCAGGGGAUCACUUGUGACCUUGCGCUAAUAGAUGAGCCUAAGUCGGAUUAGCUAGUUGGUGGGGUAAAGGCCUACCAAGGCGACAAUCUGUAGCGGGUCUGAGAGGAUGAUCCGCCACACUGGGACAGAGACACGGCCCAGACUCCUACGGGAGGCAGCAGUGGGGAAUAUUGGACAAUGGGGGGAACCCUGAUCCAGCCAUGCCGCGUGUGUGAAGAAGGCCUUAUGGUUGUAAAGCACUUUAAGCGAGGAGGAGGCUCUUUUGGUUAAUACCCAAGAUGAGUGGACGUUACUCGCAGAAUAAGCACCGGCUAACUCUGUGCCAGCCGCCGCUGUAA